UGGGGAAAGGGUAUAUGGAAGGAAGGGAUUGUAGUUCAGAGGGUAAGCCAGGAAGGUGGGCUCUAAAGAUGGAGUGUGAACAGGAAUCAGAGGAGUUGGGAAGAGUUACAGUCUUUGUUGUUUAGCAUUGCCCUGUAGCUCAUGCAGAAAUUAUGGGUCUGGGGCCUAGGAGAUAGCUUAGUGGGUAAGAGGUUUACUAUGCAAGCGUGAGGACCUGAGUCCAGAGCCCAGUACACACAUAAAAAGCCAGGUAUGGACUGUGUGUCUGUAAUCACAAUGCUGUGGGAAUAGUGAUGGGAAGAUGGAUGGGUCUUGCUGGCUGUCAAUCUAGCUCAAGGUUCAAGGGAGACUCUGUCUCAAAGGAACAAGGCAGACAGUGAUAGAGAGCAGGAUAUCCGUUGUGGGGCAGUUGGUCGUGGCAAGAAGCUUGGUGAGGUUGAGUGGGUUCAGAGACCCCAGCUCUCACCUGAGCACAGUAGGUGUUUCCCUGCUCCCUACCAGACUCCUGGCCUGAAACACAUGACCACACGCCACACAUAGGGAUGUGACAACCACGUAGCACAAAACAGUUCUCCAUGCCAGUGAGGUGUCUAGAUGGGCCCUGGGGAUUUAGCUAAGCUUUUCUUCCCAGACAUUCCUUCCUGCAAAAGGUAUUUAAUCUCUGGUCCACCCUGAGGAGGUUGUAUGCACCCAUUUUCCAUGAUGAACAGUGACUGAAUGGUCUGAAUAAGCAUGGACUGUCUCCCAUCAAGAACUGCCACGGGAAGCAUGGAGCGAGCCUUCAUCUGCAGAGCUUCCAAGUCUAAGUCUCUUGCAGAAGGCCCCUCCUUGCUAGCCGGAGUAGUUGUCUGUGUUGUCCCCCCUGGUCCCCUCGUCCUGGUCUUGUCACCCUCAGCCAUUGGGCCCCGGACUACUCCUCCUUGUGAUUUCCAGCGGCAUUUGAAUGUCCAGGAGUCAGGGAAGCCCAACUUCAGCCUCAGCCUGCAUUUUUCUUACUCAGGCUAAGGCCCCCAGCCUGGACUGCAUUCAUUCUUUCUCUCUCUCUCUCUCUCUCUCUCUCUCUCUCUCUCUCUCUCUCUCUCUGUCACACACACAUCCAGAGUGGUGCUUCCUGAAAGCCCAUCACCAAAUGGUGGCAUAGGGUAAGAUGUAGUCUAGCAUCUUCCAUUUUGCCAGCUUAAGUGGUGUUUAGCGGCGAGAUGGACCAUGGGACCACAUCUGGCAUAUAUACCAUGGGACAUACUCAGCUGACACAUACCCCAGCUGGCAACCCACAAGAUCCACAUCAGCACUCUGAAUUAAACAGACUGUGAGUAACCCCUGGCGCUAGGCCAAAAGACUCAGACCUUCCCACUCUAAAGACAGAUACAUCCUCUUCCCACUUUUGUUUGUGGGCGGAGCUACUGCACUGACCCCCAUCUAAAUCCAGACAAUCCAAGGGACCAUUGAUAAAAACUCCGAGGCAGAGCUGGCUCCAGAGCCACAGUGGCUACUCCAACUUGGCCAAGAACACACAAUCCAUUGCCUUCCUCUGACCUCUGUAUGUGUGCAUACAUUCAGGCAUACAGUAUACUUGCACGCAAAGAUGAAUGUGUCCCUUAACAACACUUCCCAAUUCAAACUUGAUGUUGGGUACUUAACAGUUCACUAAAGGUCUGAAUUUUUUAUUAUAGUUUUGUGUAUGUAGGUGUGCUUGUGUGGAUGGGUAUGUGUAUAUUCAUGCAUGCACACAUGUGGUCACAUGCAUGUAGAGGCCAGAGAUCCCUCUACUAUCAUUCUUUAUGUGCUGUCUGUCCUGUUUUUCUGAGACAAAGUGUCUUUAUUGACUUAAAAAUUUGUUAAUUAGACUAGGUCUGGCCAGGGAGCCCCAGGGUUCUACCUUUGUCUUAGGGUUUCUAUUGCUGUGAAGAGAUACCUUACACAAUUCUUAAAAAGGAAAACAUUUAACUGGAGCUGGCUUAUAAUUCAGAGGUUUAAUCCAUUGUCAUCUUGGUGGGAAACAUGGUGGCAGGCAGGUGGACAUGAUGCUGAAGAGAUAGCUGAGACUUAGUUCUACAUCUAGAUCUACAGGGAACAGAAAGAACAGUGGACCUGGCUCCAGGAUUUUAGACCUAAAAGCCCUCUCCAGUGACACACUUCCUCCAACAAAGCCACACCUACUCCCAACAAGGCCACACCUCCUAACAGUGCCACUCCCUAUGGGGCCAAUUCAUCUAAACCCUCACAUUUCACUCCUUGACCAUAGAGUCUGAUUUAUCUUGUGGGCCUGGCUCUUUAAAGGAUCCCCAGUGGUGAUCCUUUAAAGAUGGAUCCUUUAAAGUGCAGCCUGGCAGUGGUGUCGCACAACUUUAAUCCCAGCACUUGGGAGGCAGAGGCAGAUGAAUUUCUGAGUUCGAGGCCAGCCUGGUCUACAGAGUGAGUUUUAGGACAGCCAGGGCUAUACAGAGAAACCCUGUCUCAAAAAAACCAAAAAAGAAAAAAAAAAAAGGAUCCCAGUUGCUAGUCAACUGGCCCUUUAAGAAUUCUUAGCUGUAAGAACUGCUUGACCCCAUAACCUUUAGUAUUGGUUGCCUCUUGAGUUUCUGGGAACAGGAUAGGAUAUCAAAAAGUCAGCAGAGGCUAAGAGGGAUUGGGGGCUAGCAGGCUGAGGAGAAGGCAGUUGAUACAGAAGAAGAAAAAGUCAAGUGAGGACACCCUGAGAUGAGCAGGCUGAUAGCUAAUAGGUUAGAGAACAGUUGUUAUAAUAUGGAACUGUUAGUAUUAGGAAAAGUGGGAGAAGGGGCUGUUUAAGCAGACUGUUGGGGAACUGAGGAGAUGGUUGGGAGAAACAUUUGAAGAGGUUGGGCUGGAAACUGGGAGGAACGGUUUGGAAAGAAAUUAGAUUCAGAUACAUACACACACACACACACACCAAUCCUUUUUUCUCUCCUAUCUAGUGUUAGAGGGUGAAAUGGGGGUGGGGAUAAAGAGUGGGAGAAAGAAAAAGCAAAGACCACAAAAUAGCAAAGUCCAGCUGUAAACCACUAUAGACUUGUAGCCAUACCAUAAUGUAAAAUGUACUUAGUUCAACUUCAAAAGUACCCAUUUUCUGUAACAGUCUCAACCCUGUUUAGAAAUCCAAAGUUCAGCGUCUCUUCUGAGACUCAUGGUAAUCUCUUAACUGUAAUCCCUGUAAAGUCAAAAUGGAAAACAAACAAAACACAAAAUAAAACCAGGUCACAUACUUAAAACAUACAGUGGUUCCAAAAGGGAGGGAAGGGAGCAUAAUGCAUAAUGGACCGGUGCGAGACCAAAAACCAGUUAGUGCAAACUAAAUUCUGCAUCUCCAUGUCUGAUGUCAAAAUGCUCUUCGGAUCUCCAGCCCAUUCAGUUUUGCUGAACACUCUUCUUGGGUUGAUUCUACUCCCUGUUAACAGCUUUCCUUGGCAGGUAUCCUACAGUUCUGGCGUCCCCAACAUCUUGGGGUCUCCAAGGCAAUACAGCCUUAACCUUCACAGUUUCACACAAUGGCCUCUCUGGGCCUCCAUUCAGGGACACCCCUGACACAAGCCUGGCCUCAGCAGCUUUCCUUGGUUUCGGAGGGAGAUUCUGUAACCCUUUCCUUAUCUGUCUUGUAUCCUUGCCUCUAAAACCAGGGCCAUGUGGCUGAAGCUUCCUGGUUCUGCUGUUUGCUUGGGCUGGUGGGCAGAGGUUCCCUUGUUCAAUCACAUCUGCAUAAGCUUUAUGGUUUUGAUGGUUUCCUUUGCUACUUAAGCUUUUCUUUAAUUACUUUUCACAAGUUGGAAGCUUAGCUGGAUAGAUCUUUCCCUAGACUCUGCUUACUACUCCUUUUAUUUCAUUUAAUCUGUUUAUUUCCUUGAACUCGGGCCUUAGCUCCAUUAUACUUCCUAGUGCCCCCUUUCUCCUCAAGGUGUAUAUUUUGUAUAGUUUUUCUUCUUCAGCUUGCUCUUUUAUGUAUGUCUAUGAAUUAUAUGCUUGUCUGCUACCAAUGGAGACUGUAAGAAGGUAUGGGGCCCCUGGUAGUUAGGGAGAGCUGUGAGCUACUAUGUAGGUGCUAGGAAUUAAACUUGGGUCCUCAGGAAAACAAAUAGUGCUCUUCGUAAACAGCCAUUUUUUUCAGCCACCCCUCCCUUUUUGAAAUGGUGUCAUGUAACCCAAGCUGGCAUCAGACUUCAUAUGUAGCUAAGGAUGACCUUGGACUCGUACUCCUGCUUCUACCUCCCCAGAAAUGGGAUUACAAGUGUGUACCACCGUGCCUGUAGUUGGUACACUUUUAUUUUUUACCAUGUAGGAUCAAACUCAGAUUGUCUCACUUGGCACAGUUCACCUCUAAGCCAUCUCAUUGGCCAUAGACUAUUUAUAUUUUCAGAAAUAUAACAAAAAUGAUUUUUUAUUAAUAUCCUACUUGGGUUUUUUGUUUAUUUUGAGAUGAUCUUACUCUUUAGCCCUGACGGUCUGGAACUCACUAGCCUUAAACUCUGCCUUGAGCAAGAUAUGCCUGCCUUUGUUUCCUAAGUGCUGGGAUUAGAGGUGUUUCCCACCUCUUCUCACUACUGUAGUUGUUACCAGACCUGGUAGUACUGAUUUGUAUUCCCUGCUAUUCUUGAAGCUCAGAGUAAUAGUUUAUCCAUCUGUAAUCUUAUUAUUUGGGAGGCUGAAAUAUGAUUAUCACAAGUUUAAGACUAGCCUGGGCUACAUAUCAAGUCUAGGAUAGCAAUAGUAAUAAUUUUUUAAAAUAGAGCUAGGGACAUCAAAGGUAGUGGGGCUGCCUAGUAUGUGUAAGGCCUGAGAUUCAGUCCUAGGUACUGAGAAGGGGAGGGGGAAAUAGCUCAGUCAGUAAAAUGCCAGGUGCACAGGCUUGAAGAUCUAGCAUUGUCUUACACUGACAUAAAAGCUGAGCCCUGUGCCACACCUUUUAAACUCAGCACAGGUGGGAUGGAGAUAGACAGAUCCCUAGAGCUUAUUGCUUAGCUAGCCUGGCUGAAUUGAUGAGCUCUAAGCUCAGAGAUCCUGUCUCAAAAAUAAGAUUUAGAGCCAGUGAGACAGCUUAGAUGCAUACAUACACCCACAUACAUGUUUACAUGCCCACAUGAACACAUCAUUACCACUGCACACACAUACACAUACAAACAGUAAUAAUUUAUUGUAAUUAAUAGGCCAAUAUUGAUGACUUGUUUUUGAUUAUUCAGAGUAUUUUUCUCUAAUACCUGUUUUCUCUUCCAGGGUCCCACAAAGAUUACAACAUACAAAUUAAUUUUUCUGUCUAGUUGCUUCUUGGCGGUGACAGAAUCACAGCUUCCAUAUUUGUGAUGGCCUUUACACUUUUAAGAGAAAGGGGAAGCUCAUAAAACUUAGAAAGUAAAGGAGACGUCCAAGUUUCAGGAAGAGUUUGCAACCUAGAAGAUUCACAGGGAGCUUCACUGGGCUACAGAAACAGUAACCAUUACUAUGAAGAGAAAGGAAAGUGUCCUGUGGUUGAACUGAACUGUCUUCGAGGCCGUUAGAGUUCCAGGCCUGCAGUUUCUAUGAGUCGUCCUGUGUGAGGUGAGCUUUUCAGUGACUUGGAUGUCUCCGAGCCAUCUAGCUCCAGUAAGUAACCUAAGUGCACUGCCUGGUUCACACUAGACUUGGGUAGAAUGACUUCUGCACACUGGCACCCCAUCUAGAAUGAAUAGACAAGUCGUCCUUCUUGGCUCAGGAAGUCACAAACACCUGUUUAUAUUGGACAAGUGCUCUACUGCCAUGCUGUACUCCCACCUCCUUGUUUUCUCUUUAGGUUUUCUGGUUAGUGUCAGCCCUUGAGUAAGAAAAAGCAGACAGUCAUGUCUGGCCCAGGAUGUUCUUGCUGUACCUUCAUAUCCCAGUUCCUUCAGCACAAGCUGCACUGCUCAUAAGGUUAGGAGAUGGCUGAGGACUUUUUUUUUUUUUUGGUUUUUCGAGACAGGGUUUCUCUGUGUAGCUCUGGCUGUCCUGGAACUUACUCUGUAGACCAGGCUGGCCUCGAACUCAGAAAUCCGCCUGCCUCUGCCUCCCGAGUGCUAGGAUUAAAGGCAUUCGCCACCACGCCUGGCAGGAUUUUUUUUUUUUUUUGAAAGAUUUGUAUGCAUGUGUCUCUGAAUGUCUGCCCACAUCUGUGGCCACGAGGAGAUCAGAAGAGGGUAUCAGGUUUCUCCCACUCUACCUAUGGUCUUUCCCUGAACCUGGGACUUUUGUUUGUUUUUCAGUUGGACAGAGUCUAGCAAGGUGUAGUGGUCUCUGUCUCUGCCUCCCUUAGAACCGGGUUGUAGAGUGUAUUGGUUUCCAGCUUGUUAUAUGGGUGUUGGAUCCUCAUGAUUAUGCAACACGUACUUUAACUACACAUCAUCUCCAGCCCAGAGGGGUUUUGUUUGUUGCUUGCUUUGUUUUUUUGAGACAAGAUCUCAUGCUUGAACUUGCUAAGUAGCCAAGGAUGCCAUUGAACUCAGAGUUGGGGUCCCUGGUGCUGAGAUGACAGGCACAUACCACUGUGCUUGGCCAGAGAUGACUUAAGUCUUGAUGCCUCCUUUGAGAAUAUCUUUGCUCUCACAUAUACUUUUCAUGUUGGGGCGCAUCUGGCUCAGUCAAAGCAUAGGGGAUGCUUUUGUAUAACUCUCUCCUCCAGAUUAAAGCAUUCCCUCCGGGAAGAAUAAGGAAGGUUCCUAAAACUCAGGAAGUAAAUAAGACUUAAAAGCUGCACAAGGCUUCUCACCUGAGGUUAUAGAAGAAAUAACAGUUGUACAUAUAGGGACUCAGGGUUCCAUCUGUAGCACCACCACCACCAGUCAUGAGGGAGAGCCUACCAGGCAGAGAAGCAGGAUGCUUGGGACCCAGACAGACAAAAUGGAUACCAGGGGCUGCAGAUAGGGCUCAGUGGUUACAACACUUGCUGGACAGUUGUUAAGAACAGAGUUUGAGUCCCUAAGACCCAUAUAAAUGCCAGCUGGAUGGGUUGCAGUACCCUGUAAUUUCAGCCUUGGGAGGUGGAGACAGAAUCAGCAGAGCAUGCUAAUGGGGUCUGGUUUGAUUGAAGCUCUGCCUAUGGUUCCCAACAUCAACAUGGGCCUCCACAUGCAUGUACACAUUGCACCUGCACAUGUGUGAGCUCAUACAUGCAAACAUGCAUACAUAUACACAUACAUACAUACAUACAUAUAUGAAGGAAAAAAAGGGGGAGGGUACGCCUAUUCUGGAAGAUUAUUCUUCAUAAGGAAUUCAGGUAGUGAGUAAAGAGAAUGGUGAAGACACUGAAGAGGUGAUGGUCACCUGUUCUGAAGAAUCACAGAGAAGAAGCUGGAGAAGUUACAUCAUGAUUCUAAGGACAGGGUAAGACUAAGCUUUACAUUCAUUUGUUUGUUUUUUAGGUGAGCAGUGGGUGGUGGUAUCACAUGCUUUUAAUCUUAGCAGUUAGGAGUCAGAGGCAGACAGAUCUCUGAGUCUGAGGCUAGCCUGGUCUACAGAGCUACUUUCAGGAUAACUAGGACUACGCAAGGAAACUGUCUUAAAAGGGUGUAUAUGUGUGUAGUUGUCUGAGGCCAGAAGAGGGUAAAUAAGUACUGGAGCUGGGGUUAUAAGUGGUUGGGAGGCACCUAAUGUGGGUGCUGGGCUUGUGCAAGAACAUCACGCCCUCUUAAGCUAUCUCAUCAAACCCAGGUCCUACGUUUUUGUAAAUCAUGUGGUUGCCCUAGCAACAGGAAACAUGCCCACAUGUGUUUUCUGUCAACUCCUUUGAAGCAAGCUGUGGACAUGUGUUUAUUAGUUCUCUGUUACGGACAGAGCGCCUGAGAUGAGCACCUUAGGUUAGGGAAGGUUUACCUUGGCUUCUGGGCUUCAGUCUGUGGUCCCUUGGCUCCCUUGCUUCUGGCCUCUGAUGGGAGAGCGGAAGAUGGUGGUGGGAAACAUCCAGUGGAACACAGCUGCCCAUCUCAUGGCAGCUAGGAGUGGGAGAGGCUGAGGACAGGAGAGCAGGUACCACAUAUCCACCCCUAGUGACCUGCUUCCUCCAACAAGGUCCUCCCUCCUAUCAGCCCUGUCAGUUUGUAAUGGCUCAUUCAGAUGUGAACCUAUCAAUGGAUAGGUUAUCAAUGGAUAGGAACUUGAGGAGCCACUGAUGAAGUCAGAGUCUCCACAGUCCAUCUUGCCCAGUCCAUCUCUCAACAUUACUGCAUAGGGAAACUUUGAAGAUAGGGACUUUGGGGGGACUGUGGAGAUGGCUCAGUUUGAAAAGUGCAUCCUAUACAAGCAUGACACUGCUUGGAUUACCAGUAUCCAUUAAAUAAAAAAAUAAAAUAAAAUAAAAAGUGAAAAAAACUCAAGGCUGGGUAUGUUGACCUGUGCUUAUGAUCUCAGUGUUCAGAAGGUAGAGGUAUGAUGGUUGCUGAAAGUUCCAGGCUGUCCAUGGGUUCAUGGUGAGACCUCAUGUUCAAAGGGUAAGAACAAACAAAACAACCCAGGAGCAGCAGCCAGGUGUUGUGAACCUAAGUCAGUACUGAGAAGACUGGAAUGUCUCCAUGGCUUGGUGUCCAAGCAGGCUAGCCAAAGAGUGAAAAGCCCUUUCUUUCACACACACCAAACAAACAAAAAUGGCUUUUAACACAGACACUUGGGAGGUACAAGCAAAUGGAAUUCUGAGUUCAAUGUCAGUCAAGGAUACACAGUGAGACUAUCUCAAAAACCAAAAAACAAGAGUGAUUGAGGAAGAUGCCCAGUGUUGAGUUGUAGCCUCCACAUACAUGGUACUGGAAUAUAAGAAGUCUUGCAGCUGGGUAAAGAGUGAUUGGGGGAAAUGCCCAAUGUUGGCCUGUAGCUUCCACAUACAUGUGCACACAUAUACACACAUAGUGCUGUCAUGUGGGGAGAUAGGAAAACUUGCAGCUGGGUAUAAGGUAGCCAACCAGAAAGAGGAAGGAAAGCUCUAGGAAAAACAAGACAGAGCUGGCUCCACUGCUCUCCUAGGCAACACAGUAGGGCUAUCCUUGAUGGUGGGAGCUAGCCCCAAGGGUAUAGGCAGGGAAGGGCUAGUCCUACCCUUAGACUGCUAUAGGGUGGCUUGGGAGAAAGAGAGGCUCCCUCAGCCCCUUACCUCUCACUGCCUUUGAGAUAGCCCUGUACCUCACCUGGGCAGCACAGUAGAGCUGACCCUGGUGGUAAAGGUGUUGGUAGGCUGGCCCAAAGAUGAGAACAGGAAAGCUGGUCCUACCUACCCCUUGCUGGCUUGGCACUGGGUGAACUAGCCAGGGCACUGCUGGAGAGCUCACCCUGGUAGUGUGGGUACAAGAAAGCUGCUGACCCACGCAGCUACCUCCCAGGCCUACACCAUCUAUGAUCUGCUGAUGCUAGUGAAAGGGUUGGUCCUGUAGAUCCAAAGUAGCAGGCUCUUCAUAGCACAGAGCAACAACAGAAUAUCUGGGAGGAGUGCCUGUGACGAUCCAGUAUUGACAGACAGUGUAGCAGAAACCAGAGGUCUCAGUACAGACCAAUGGCUCAUUGCAAUAAACAUUUGCAAAUAAAGAUGUAUGGAUAAAAGGGUAUACUAUGGAACACAGUUUAGCUUCCAUGGCAAGAAUUUUUUCUUUUUUAUUCUAAUUUUAUAUGGGGGAGGGUUUGCAAGGGUGGAUAUGGAGGGGUGGGGAGAUGAGUGGGAUUGGGGUGUAUGAUGUGAAAAUCAUAAAAAAAUUAAGUAAAACAAGCAAAAUAACAAGCCAGUCCUUUGCUGGGUCCCAUGUAGCACCUCCUGCACCGUACCCCCAUCUCCACCUCUCUAGGAACACACAAGGCACGUUUGCUCUUUUAAUAAGCUCAGCAGCUGUUAGUAAUUACAACUUCACUUGUAACCAUCUAAUUGCUACAGACUGAAUUGUGGGUAUGCGCAGCUUCUAAGAAACCAUCUUCCUAUUCCUGAAAAGAGACCUUAGAGUGUCUUAGUGGUGGGUUAAAAAAAAAAAAAAAAAAGGAAGAGAAAUGCUAGGCCCAGCCCUGUCAGUCCAGGAGCUAGAGGCAGCUGUUGUUGAUAUUUGUUGGCUUAAUCCACCCUCCAUUCAGAGAUGAUAUGCUUCUGCUUUUUAAAAAUUAAAUUUUAUGUGUAUGUGUGUCAUAAUGCAUGUGUUGAAGUCAAAGGGUAACUUAGAGGAGUCAGUUCUACCAUGUGUCCUUCUGACAAACUGGGAUCAUCAGGUUUGGCAGUAAGAACAUUAAUCCUGCAUUUGCUUUUGUUGUUGUUAUUAUUAAAUUCGUUCACUUUACAUUCCAAUAUCAGCCCCGACAAGUACCCCUUCACAAAGGUCCUCCCUCCCCAUUCCACUCUCCCUUUCUCCUUUCAAAGGAGGAGUCUCUUCUAGGUGUUGGUACCCCCAUACACACACGCAUCAGGUUGCUGCAGGGCAGGCAACAGACUCAGGGACACACUUCCAGUUGGUGGGGGACCCACAUGAAGACUAAGCUGCUUAUAUGCUACAUAUGUGCAGUGGGGCUAGGUUCAGUCCAUGCUCACUCUUUGGUUGGUGAUUCAGGCUCUGGGAAACCCCAAGUGUCCAGGUUAGUUCAUUCUGCUGGUGUUCCUCUGGAUUCCCUGUCCUCUUGGGGUCCAGUCUGCCAAUCCCCCCCCAAUUUUCCCAUAAAAUUCCCCUAGCUCUUCUAAUAUUUGACUGUGGGUCUCUGCAUCUCUUUCCAUUGGCUGCUAGUUGGAGCCUCUUAGAUGACAGUUAAAUGCUAGGUUCCUGUCUGCAAACAUAACUAGAACAAGCAGAAAGUCUAUAUUUAAAACCAGAUGCAGGAAAGAGGGUCAAGACUUCAAGAUCAUAACCACCUUCAGGAGGAUUCAACACCUUUGGCCUCUAUGCGUGCCUGCACAUAACUUGUCCCUAUAAUACACAUAAUUAUAAAUAAUGAAA